UGGGGAAUAUUGCACAAUGGGCGCAAGCCUGAUGCAGCCAUGCCGCGUGUGUGAAGAAGGCCUUCGGGUUGUAAAGCACUUUCAGCGAGGAGGAAGGUGGUGGACUUAAUACGUUCAUCAAUUGACGUUACUCGCAGAAGAAGCACCGGCUAACUCCGUGCCAGCAGCCGCGGUAAUACGGAGGGUGCAAGCGUUAAUCGGAAUUACUGGGCGUAAAGCGCACGCAGGCGGUUUGUUAAGUCAGAUGUGAAAUCCCCGGGCUCAACCUGGGAACUGCAUUUGAAACUGGCAAGCUAGAGUCUCGUAGAGGGGGGUAGAAUUCCAGGUGUAGCGGUGAAAUGCGUAGAGAUCUGGAGGAAUACCGGUGGCGAAGGCGGCCCCCUGGACGAAGACUGACGCUCAGGUGCGAAAGCGUGGGGAGCAAACAGAUUAGAUACCCUGGUAGUCCACGCUGUAAACGAUGUCGAUUUGGAGGUUGUGCCCUUGAGGCGUGGNUUCCGGAGCUAACGCGUUAAAUCGACCGCCUGGGGAG
rnacentral:rRNA from 1 species